UACGUAGGCAGCGAGCGUUGUUCGGAAUUACUGGGCGUAAAGAGUGUGUAGGCGGUGCUCUAAGUUCGGUGUGAAAUCUCCCGGCUCAACUGGGAGGGUGCGCCGAAUACUGAAUGACUCGAGUGCGGGAGAGGAAAGUGGAAUUCCUGGUGUAGCGGUGAAAUGCGUAGAUAUCAGGAGGAACACCGGUGGUGUAGACGGCUUUCUGGACCGUAACUGAC
rnacentral:rRNA from 1 species